GGAACAAAUUCCAACUUUCUUCUCAUUAUUUGUUUUCGUCCCUCUCUCUAGAUUCCUUUCGUUUUUUUUUCCUAUCUCUAACACCCUAGUGAACAUCGAGUGUGGGAGGGUGAAUCAUUCAUAGAUAGCUCCCUGCGUUGCAGUAGUACGAAGAGCUUCAAGAACAAGGCUGCAGACGGGUGUUCUUGCUUUGCAAUUGAAGACUGAGAGUUUGGAGCUAGCUCGAUGCAGUAAGCCGGAAAAGCUUACGAUAAGGGAGCUAUGGACACAAUGUGGUACAUAUUGUCGUCCUUGUAUAUAUAUAUAUAUAUCAUGGGCUACUUGGGGGAUGUUUAUUUGGGUAGUUUAUGUUUGCUGUUCCCAUGUCAUUUUACCAUAUUUUACUGUACAUAUGUUCGAAUAUUGAACAAAACCUUUAGGUGGUCUGUAAGUGGAAAUAUUGUACAAAACCUUUAGGUGGUCUGUAAGUGGAAAACUGGUUGGUGUCGAUGCUCGAAAGAUCUGACUCUUUCAUUAUCUAAAGGACUGCAUUUGAAACUCAUUUUGUCGUCAAAUCUAAAAAUGAAUUGGCAUGUCUUACUGGUUCA